UACUAGAAUUUGUGUAGGUUAGGAAUAAGACUGAGGAUGGAGUUGUACAGUUUUGUAGUGUGUAUCAUUUGUAAAUAUUGUUAACUUCUUUACCAUAACCAUGCUGAGGGAGGCGUUGACUAAAUUAGAGAUGGUGCUGGACCAACAAACCACUGAGCUUGCUUCAACUACAGGUGUUCCAGGUGCAGUCUUUGGAUACUGAUGAAGAUUUACUGCCCUGCAAGAUCUUCCUCAACUGCGUAGUCUGGAGCAAAGGAUGCAACAGAGCCCAGAUUGCAAGCAAAAACUGGGCAGAUGUGCUCGACUGCACCUGGCGCAUAUUGAAGAGGGUGAUUGCUAACUCCCUGGCAAAGAACCUCAAUUGGAGGGGAGUCAAUGGAAAGACUUCACUGGCCACUCUCCAACUUGGAGAGGUCAUGAUUGAAACCUCUUCACGGCUAAAGCUGCAGAGAUGGAGGUUGAGGGGACCAUGAAGAGGUGGCUCCAGCUGGCAUCAGAUUGAGAGUGCGGGCGCAAGAGAAGACUUUUGAAAACUUUUGCAAAAAGAAGGUAUUUAGAGUGUUUUAACUGUGGUGUCUUUGUUAAUUUGUUAAAAUGUUCAUAUUAUAGUCUAUUUUUGAUUGUUUAUAAAAGUCCUUGCUGUUUUUAAGUGGUUGAAAUUGUGUGUGUGUGUGUGUGUGUGUGUGUGUGUGUUGGUAGCUGGGUGGCUAUACAGUUGCGAUCGGAAGUUUACAUACCCCUUGCAGAAUCUACAAAAUCUUAAUACUCUUAACAAAAUAAGAUUGAUCAUAAAAAUCCUAAGUUUCUUAUUUAGUACCGCCAUGAAUAAGCUAUUUCACAUAACAGAUGUUUACAUAUAGUCCACAAGAUAAUAGCUGAAUUAAUCAAAAUUACCCCCAUUCAAAAGUUUACAC